rnacentral:misc_RNA from 1 species
UGGGUUCUCAUUUGGCUUUGAUGCUUCCAUUUAGGAGACUGAUAAUUAAUCAAACUGACCAAUAUAUGUAGCGAACAGGUACAGAUAUGUAACCAGUUUGCAUGUGGUGAAAUGGAUAGGUUGUUUGCCAUAGCAGCUAUCUACACAAGUUCUAGUCCAGCAAAAUGAUUGUUCAAACAUUUUUCUCCUUUAUUCUGAUGACUUAUUAUCCUUCACUACUAUUGUUAUAUUAUAUUAUAUGUCUGUAUUUUAAAGGAAAAGGUUAUAUUAUUUAUAUUCAUUUACAAGGAAAAUUGUAGCCCAUCUGCUAUUUACUAUCUAUCCAUGAACUUCUUCACAAUUACUUUUUCACAAUCUAUAUCUAGUAACUCAACUUCUUCCAUUCUCAUCUCCCAUCUUUAUACGAGUAAAGCAAGAAUACUCCAACAAGGAAAGGAGGAAGGAAGACAAGAUUAAAAAAUUGCCCAGAGAAAAACAGCAGAGAGAAAGUAGGAAUUAACAAAAAAAUGUGCAUAAAGUAGAUAGAAAAAGAAAGAAGUGAGAUUUAAAAAACCAGAAAAGUUCAUCAAUGGUAGGACUAGUAUUAUAUUAAAA